GAUGAACGCUGGCGGCGUGCCUAAUACAUGCAAGUCGAGCGAAUGGAUUGAGAGCUUGCUCUUAUGAAGUUAGCGGCGGACGGGUGAGUAACACGUGGGUAACCUGCCCAUAAGACUGGGAUAACUCCGGGAAACCGGGGCUAAUACCGGAUAACAUUUUGAACCGCAUGGUUCGAAAUUGAAAGGCGGCUUCGGCUGUCACUUAUGGAUGGAACCGCGUCGCAUUAGCUAGUUGGUGAGGUAACGGCUCACCAAGGCAACGAUGCGUAGCCGACCUGAGAGGGUGCGCGGCCACGCUGGGACUGAGACACGGCCCAGACUCCUACGGGAGGAAGCAGUAGGGAAUCUUCCGCAAUGGACGAAAGUCAGACGGAGCAACGCCGCGUGAGUGAUGAAGGCUUUCGGGUCGUAAAACUCUGUUGUUAGGGAAGAACAAGUGCUAGUUGAAUAAGCUGGCACCUUGACGGUACCUAACCAGAAAGCCACGGCUAACUACGUGCCAGCAGCCGCCGUAA
rnacentral:rRNA from 1 species